GACGAACGCUGGCGGCGUGCUUAACACAUGCAAGUCGAACGGAAAGGCCCUGCUUUUGUGGGGUGCUCGAGUGGCGAACGGGUGAGUAACACUUGAGUAACCUGCCCUUGACUUUGGGAUAACUUCAGGAAACUGAGGCUAAUACCGGAUAGGAGCUCCUGCUGCAUGGUGUGGGUUGGAAAGUUUCGGCGGUUGGGGAUGGACUCGCGGCUUAUCAGCUUGUUGGUGGGGUAGUGGCUUACCAAGGCUUUGACGGGUAGCCGGCCUGAGAGGGUGACCGGCCACAUUGGGACUGAGAUACGGCACAGACCCCUACGGGAGGCAGCAGUGGGGAAUAUUGCACAAUGGGCGGAAGCCUGAUGCAGCAACGCCGCGUGCGGGAUGACGGCCUUCGGGUUGUAAACCGCUUUCGCCUGUGACGAAGCGUGAGUGACGGUAAUGGGUAAAGAAGCACCGGCUAACUACGUG
rnacentral:rRNA from 1 species